CCCCAAUUUCCUCUUUUAAUAAUCACUAGUAAAAACAACAUGAAUAAAUAUUAAACAUUAUUUCUUCAUAUCAUAUAAUCCAGCGGCCAAUUAGCCUGCUGUGUGGUCAAAGAACUAUUACCAACAGAGCCUCGUCUGCCCGGGCGACCACUUCCUGCCAUGGCUGUCCUGCUCUCUGCUGCUCCUACUCUGCAGGUCCUGACACAUCCAAGCCCAGCCAUCGAUCACUACGUGGUAGUGAGUACAUUUCCCAGCAUAACCGUAGUACAGACGAAGGGCCUGUGAGAAAGCCUCUUAGAGGACAAGUAAGUGAGCAUCAUAAUCUCCUCUAUAUCUGCUCUGCAACUUCACCCAAUUCUAAUCCACAAUCUAAUCCUACAAGUGAGUCUGCAACACAGAACACAUGUCUGCAUGUGCUUCUACACACACACGCACAGACAGACGAAGUCACCAGCAUCAAUUCAUAAUGAGUUAUGAAAACGUUUAACUCUCUCUCACACAGAGACACAUGAGAACAUAUUGUAAUGGCCAACAUCAUGCAAAGCUCCAUCAUGCAGCAUGCAGCUCCUUCUCAGACCCAGCUGUCUAGACAACAAGCUUGCAGUUGUUUACGUACAUGCAGUGUUGGUGUACGCGUGUAUUCAGACAUGCUGUGUCCAUACGUCCAAUGAGAGGGUUAAGUCCUACAGCAUUCAUCACUCCAGGCCCAGAGGAGCUACAGGUUCUUCACAGUCCACAGCUGUUCCACUCAAUCUAAACCCACAAGCAGAGACUUUCAGUGACUAGAUAAUGUAGCUCAUGAGGGCCGGGGGUUGGGAAGCAGCUGCUCCUACCCGCCGCCUAGGGCAUGGCCACAUGCACCUCGGGACUCACAAACUGGGGCGUCAUCCAGUCUAAAUUUGAGCAAACUCACUUUUAUCAAACCUGUCUCUGUGGCGGGCGUGCAUGGUUGCACCAUCGCCUUGGUCUGGUUCCUGAAGAUCAGAAGUCUCCUGCCUAAUGGUGGCCAACACUAACUGCUCUGUGGGCACCAAAGAGGCCGCGGCGGGAGAAAACAACACAAGACAACAAGUCAUUUUACACAUAGCACACACGGCUAAAUGUCAAAAGAUGCACUGAAAAUGUAUCUGUGGGACUCAAGCAUUGACAACGUAAUGACAGUCAUGCCUGCAGAAAUGAAGAUCUGACUUCUACACGCAGACUGACCAAAAGGUUAGUGGCUUGCCCUGGAGUGCCCUCAAGUGUCAAACUUGGGUAACUGCAACACUGCUUCAAUUCGGCGUCUCUCUAUCUCAGUACAUGCAUCUACGGUAGUUUGGCAGCCAUGACAACGUGUCAUUAUCUUCCCUAAACAUAUGCCAGUGACGACAGUUGGCAGUUGCUGCACGUACUGUUUUAAACUGAGAUAAUACCACAGUCAUGAGACGUUGAUUUCCAUAGGGGAUCCUUACAAAAACUAUGUUGCAGCACGUUUCACCUUAAAAUGUUCAAUAGCCUUCGGGAAAUCACCAUUUUAGAUACAUUUACAUUUACUAAGUGGCUUAAUAACCACUUAAACCAAUGCACCUUUACACACCACAUCAAGGUGAUAAUAAAUUAUUUUUAAAAUAGAGAACUUGGUUUCUCUGGUACUUUUUCAGGUUAAUUAUUGCCAUUUAUUGCUACAGCUAACAUUAAGUACUGAAGGUUUCGUUCAACUGCACAAUAAAUAGAUUUUUUUGACAGGCCUUCUUAUAGCCCCCACGGUGCAUCCUGAAUGUGUUGGAGUAAAUGUGACAGAUUGGUGGAGACAUACGUCAUCAUCCGGGAUGUGAGGGCUUACUAAUUGGAGCAAGGAAUCAAGAGGUCAGGGUUUGGGAGAUUACAGGCAAGUCCACAUGGAGAAUCCGCUUGGUAUAGAAUACGUACCGAAGGAUGCUCAAACUGGAGGUGCAUCCUUCUAUUUUUAUUCUGUGCUUUAAAUAUGACCACAAAAAAAGAAAGAUAUUUGAUAUUAAGAAGAGGGUGAUGGUAAGUGAUGUUCUGGCACAUGACUGAGUCACGACCACAGAAAUCCAGAACGACAAACUGCUGUCAACAUCACAUAAAUGCUGAACGCUAACGUGCUCUUCAUCACCAUACUGUGAAAAAAUCUAUUUUGCUGCUGCUUUUUAACUUUUGACCUUUCAUCUGACACAAACAGGACAGGACACACCUCUGCGUGAAAAGGUCAAUCAGUUUAAUCGAGUUAAAAAUCAAACAACUAUCUGGGAAAGCUCUAGUCCAAAGAGAGCAUGACCAGUUGGCACUCACUUCUGCUUACAAGUUGUUUCUAUUUCUGGAAGCUCUAUGCAGCCAAACACACAUACAAACACACACACUCACGUGCACACCCACAACAACAAUGCAGGCAUGCAAUAUGUGCCAGACCCAUGAGGAGCCAUUUGCCUCUUCUAGGACUGCCCAAUCGGAUUUGCUCUGUGUAGGAUCCAGUUAAUCUUGCAACUGUUUCUUGUUGUAUUAUGGAUGAAUCUGUCAUUUAUAAUUAAAUGACCCAUCGAUUAAUGGGUCCAAAGGUGGUGUAAACUGUCAGUAUCAAUACAGUUUUGACAACAAAUAAAUGAUGCUCAGAUUUCUACUGGGGAAGCCAUGAAAACAUAUUCAAUAUUAAUUGUCAAAAUAAUUGUGAACUCUGAAUAUGAGACGAGUCGUGUUGUGCGUGUGAUCAGUGAUCAGUGAUCAUGUGAUCAUAUCUUGGCUGGAGGAAGUUGUUCUCUCGUGUCUUGGCAGGUAUUCUAAUGUAUUUUGACGUGAAAAAAAAUCUCAGCUAUAACUUCUAUCAAAAGGUUUUGACCAGUAUCCUGUGCUCUGGUUUUGCUCAUUAAAUAGAUCAUAAUAUUAUAAUUAUAAAUUCAUUGUGAAAAAAAUGGAAGCCCUCUGAAUAAAGCUAGUAACUUCUGAAAGCACCGGAGCAGUACUUUAAGAAAGACUUGAGUUUUCACAGUGCGACCAAUAAGAAUGUACCCACACUGUCUGUAUUGACAUAUGUACUACUACUGGGCCACGACCCGGUAUUUGGGAAACACAGCAUUAACAGUACAACUGUGGCGUCACAACAGCACGCUCCAUGUGAACGAGUGUCUCAACCAUGUUUUUUACAGGUCACCCAUGGCCGUGGGCAGCCUAUCAGGUGAUGAGGUCAGAGCUCUUAAGAGGGUCACGUGGUCACUAAGUCAGUGAAGAAAUAAAUAGACUAGGAUCUAAAAGAGCUUGACUUGACUUCGUUCGACAACAAAAGCUCCCAUUACAUAAUAAUAACCUAAUGUGAUCGAUGAUAAUACACCGGAAAGUGGUGAAGUAACUGGGUAUGAGACAGUGAGGAAUGUAAAACCAUUAUAUAACGGGAUAUAGAUGGAACAAAUUAGUGCUAAGCUCACACUUAAUGUGUUUAUAGCUUCAAUAUCCAAGUUACAUUCAUAAUUCCACUGAUGAUAUUUGAUAUAUAUGCGGUGUGUAGUCAACAGUAAAGGGCAGACGGACUGGAACAGACACCUGCAGUCUGCUUGUCCUUGCAUCACAAGGCAGUGCCAAAACAUGACUAAGACUGGAGGUUUAAAAAAAAAAAAAAAAAAAAAAA